GCCUCCCUCUUUCUUCGUGCUUAACACAUGCAAGUCGAACGGUGAAGCGCCUUCCUUUUUGGUGGGUGUGGAUGAGUGGCGAACGGGUGAGUAACACGUGAGUAACCUGCCCCCUUCUUCUGGAUAACCGCAUGAAAGUGUGGCUAAUACGGGAUAUUCUGGGUCUGUCGCAUGAUGGGUCUGGGAAAGAUAUUGUUUCGGUGGGGGAUGGGCUCGCGGCCUAUCAGCUUGUUGGUGGGGUGAUGGCCUACCCAGGCGGUGACGGGUAGCCGGCCUGAGAGGGUGGACGGUCACACUGGGACUGAGACACGGCCCAGACUCCGACGGGAGGCAGCAGGGGGGAAUAUUGCACAAUGGGCGCAAGCCUGAUGCAGCGACGCCGCGUGAGGGAUGGAGGCCUUCGGGUUGUGAACCUCUUUCGCCAGUGAAGCAGGCCUGCCUCGUUUGUGGGUGGGUUGACGGUAGCUGGAUAAGAAGCGCCGGCUAACUACGUG
rnacentral:rRNA from 1 species